rnacentral:lncRNA from 1 species
AGAGGAAGUCAGAGAAAUUCAAAGCAUGAGAAGGACUCAACUUCCCUUGCUGGCUUGAAGAUGGAAGGAGCCACGUGGAAAGUGUCAAAGGAAGUUAAUUUGGCCAACAACCAGUGAGCUUGGAAGAGGACCCUGGACCCUAGUCUGACGUCCGAAAGGAAGCCUUGGUUUGGCAGGGGACUCCCUCCGUGACUUCAGACAAAGGAAGCCGUUGUCUGGCCUUCACGCAGGACACAUUUGGAAACAUUGGUUACCUUACCAAGACUUUGACUGGAAUGUCAUAUUUGAGAGAAACAUGCAGAUUCAGAUAUGACAAGACAGCUUUUGAGGAAUAAGUGUUGACUUUCUGAAUAAAGCCAUU